UUUUGUCGUUUUCCAUUCAGCUACUUCAAGGGAGCGUGUGAUUUGAAUUACCCCGGUUGUCUCCAUGGCGACGGGGCCGCGAAACCGAAACCGACGUCACACGACAAUGAGAGAUCUCACGGGUCUGGCCCGACGCCGACCGGGCCGGCCGGCCGGCGGUUUGGCUUCUAUUCUGAGAAACGCGGCUCGAGGUCUGCCUCCGGGGCCCGGAUCCGCUCCGUCGCCGCCUUGACGUCGGCGGCCCCGGAAGACCCUCCCUGCCGAGGACGGUCGCCGCCGGCCUGCGAGGUGAGCUCCGGCGCGACCGAUCCCAAGCGUCCCCGCGAGGAGCCCGCCGCGACGUUCUCUUCGUCGCUUCCCAGAUUCCACGGGGCCGAACGAAGAGCGGAGGAGACGCCGGUCGAACCUCGCGCUCGCUGUCGGGGCUGGAGUUCACGCUUAGCUCAGCAAGAAGGGGAGAGGAAACAUCGAGAAAUAAGCCUAAUCCAGAAAGAACCCA